rnacentral:rRNA from 1 species
CAGUCGCCACGGGAACACGGAGGGUGCAAGCGUUAAUCGGAAUUACUGGGCGUAAAGCGCACGCAGGCGGUCUGACAAGUCAGAUGUGAAAUCCCCGGGCUUAACCUGGGAACUGCAUUUGAAACUGUCAGGCUGGAGUCUUGUAGAGGGGGGUAGAAUUCCAGGUGUAGCGGUGAAAUGCGUAGAGAUCUGGAGGAAUACCGGUGGCGAAGGCGGCCCCCUGGACAAAGACUGACGCUCAGGUGCGAAAGCGUGGGGAGCAAACAGGAUUAGAUACCCGUGUAGUCCCUGUCUCUUAUAC